UAACAACGGACUGUGUCUCUGAGACCCUGUGUAUGGAUACACGUGUACUUAAAACAGCCCCGCCUGUGUGUAGAGCACUUGCUGUAUGUCAACGCUUUGCAGGAGCUAUUGCACUUAAGGCUCAGAACAACUUUAUGAGGCCUAUUUCUAACAGACUUGUUAUGUGUAUUCUUAUUCAAUUCUGGAUUGGAUUCAGAAAAUUGGACAGUGUUGCAGGUACUGAAUGACGUGUAGGCAUGCUGAUAUCCACAAAAGUAAGAACUGACUACACUUCAAGAAUGUUAAAGAAAGUCAUUCAGACAGAAAGGAAAUGAUACCGGAUGGAAAUACAGAUCUACACAGAGGAAUGAUGAGCACUGGAAAAGGUAACUACAUGGCCAAAUAUUGUCCCUGUGAUGCAUGACUCCAGCGGGUGGGCACUAUUUACAUUGUAAUGUAUGUAAAUGGCAUUUCCUGAAGCAGGAUUAAGAAGCUACAGAAUGUAUCUUACAGGAGGAAGAUCUUUUUUCAGUUGACUCCAGUGCCUAGCAAAUGUUUGAUACACAAAAGAUGUUUAAUAAGAAUUUGGAUUGGUUCCUGGAAGUGGAACUACUAUAUCAAAGAUUUGGACAUUUUUAAGACCCCAGAAAGGUAAUAUAGUAAUAAAUGCGACUGUAAAUUUUAACACAUUCUUAGCUACACUCGUUAUUAACACUUGCAUUUUCAAUCUUUGUCAGUCUGAUAAUAGGGAGACUCAUUGUGUAAUUUGAUAAAAUUGCAUUUUUGCUCAUAUACUCAUAUUAAUAACUUAACUACCUCAAGGACUUAAUAUUCUUUGUCUUUUCCAUGAUGCUUACUCAGCUGGUGAAGAAAUGUAUUUUUUAUUGACUUAGGCAGUAUUUCUUUUAAAAUAAAUUAUAUUUUGAACACAUAGAAAGGUGAAGAAAAAUAGCAUAAGGAAGGAUCCAGAUUUAUUUUACUUAGUAAAAAAAGGUAAGAUUGUAUUUAAUUAUUAAUGUAGUGGUAAAUAGAACAUUAUUACUAGAAGCUAGCAAUAUCAUAUUGUAUUUAUUGAAUUUAUUUCUUUAUCGAAAUCAUACUGAAUUUAUUGCUUAAUGUGCCAUUUUCACUACAGCACUUUCCAAAAUACUUACUAAAUGCUUAGCUUAUAAGAUUAAGAAAAACAUUCACUAGAUAACUACUUUGAAAUAAUUGCCCCAACCCUGCUUUCAUUCACGAUGCCUAGAAACAGACUUGCCUACUUUAAUUUUCUUUCAUGUUGUUAUUACUAUGAAGUCAUUUUAUAGAUAGGGUAAUAAGCAUUCUGGCAUAAAGAAAAAUAGCAUCUGUACAACGAUAUGGCACGGUUUGGUUGGGGCUGUUCCUCCUUCAGAACUUCAUUACGUAAUUUGAAAGUGUUUACUUAAGCUCCUUUGGGCUGCCUCCAUGGUAGCUAUGAAGUCACAGAAUUAGGACCAGUUUGGGGCCUGAUAACAAUGUCUGUUAGUUUAAUGUGAACACUGUGUCAAUUUUUUUUUUUUUUAUCAUUGCUGUAUAAGAAACUUUAAAAACAAAGAUAUACUUAAUUCAUUUCAUUUUUUAAAACAAGUAUGCUUCUUCAAAAAUCACUAAUACACAAAACAAGGGAUUCGUAAAUGUAUGUUUGCUCAUUGUCUAGAUGUAUUUAUUUUAAAAUCUGUAUUCCAUACCAUGAAUUCACAGUAUGAUUUUGACUCAGUAUAAUUAUAAAUAAUUAUGCAAAAUUACCAAAAUGUGUAGAGGUAUUAGACAGCCUUUAGGAGAGUAUGAAUUAUUAAGAUUCUAUUUCUACACCAAGACCACUAUUUCUAUCUCUAAGUCAUAAAAGAAAUCUAAGAGAACACCAUAGAUGUAUAAAUUAUAAUAAUAUCAGCUUUAGGAGAAUUUAAAAAGAUACCAGGUUAUAAGAAAAAAUUAUUUUCUCUUGAUUACUCAAAGAAAGGUAAUAUUUUCAGUUCCUGAGAGGGAGAACUCUUGCUCCUUGGCCAACCAAAUAACUAGGUGUAUUGGUUUUAAAGAAAAAUAUUGCAAUAUGCAUUGUAAACAUGGAAGAAGAAUCAUUUAAAUUUUGUAUUGUAAUAAUCAAAUGGUAUAUCACCUUCAAGGCAACGUGAAAAUUUUUUAUAAAAUACCUAAAAUCUCAACCAUCCCUUUAGAAUUACUGAGUUUUAUGAAUAAACAAGCCUAAGUCAAGAUCCUGUUAUCUAAAAGCAUAUAGACCUCUUAAAGAAAUGUCAUUUUGUUUUAAUUAUGUAACAUGAAUUUAUUAUAAAAUUACUUGUUGGAAUAAUCUCCGUAGCAUUUUGCUUUUUAACUAACUUUGAGAAGUUAAACUGAUGGCCUUGCCAAUGAUCUAGUGAGGUACAAAGUCAGGGAUAAUUCAGGGAAGAAACAGAAAAAACCUUUAGGACCUGAUCAUCACUCUGGAGGUAUAGCCACUCUAGGGGUCCUACGUGGAUUGGGAGAGAGGGGUUUCUGUGUAUAGGCGGCCUGAUCUGGAGGGGGAGAAUGGUCAAGGGGGAGAAGAGGGAAAGAUUAUGAGACAAACUGCCUACUAAGAUUGGUUUAGGUUUAGCUUUGCUGUAACAAUGAAAUGUGGUGGGGUUUUUUUGUUUAUUUAUUUGGAGAGAGAGAGAGCGAGCGCAUGUGCAUAUGGUAUGAUCAGGGAAGGGGCAGAGAGAGAGAGAGAAGUAGAGAGAGAAUCCCAGGCAGGUUCUGCAUUCUGAGCCUGGAGCCCAACAUGGGGCUCCAUCUCAUGAAGCAUGAGAUCAUGAUCUGAGUUGAAAUCAAGUCAGACACUUAACCCACUGAGCCACGCAGGUGCCCCUGAAAUGUUUAGGUUUUUAUAUGUCAUUCUCAUAUGAAAAGAGGGUGAUUGGUUUCUUAUGUUUAAAUAUUUUUAAUAUACGAUACAUUGUUUAUAAAUCUGUUUAUCGGAAGUUAAUAUGUGUGGUGAUUUUAAACUAAAUAUUGCCAAUUCUUUGACACGCCUUCAUUAAAGGAUCAGAGUCUAAUUCCCCUGUCUAGAAUAUGGAUGGCCUUAGUGAUUUUUUUCUAACAAACAUGAUGUGAUAGAUAUAAUGCUGCAUGACUAGUUAGGUCAUACAGCUUCAUCUGGCUCUCUGUCUUAGGACACUUGGAACCCAGGAACCCUGUUGUGAGAAAGCCAAAAACAGAAGGACAGGCCAUUGUGUAGGUGUUCUGACCUGGUAAUCCCAGCUAAGGUCCCAGUCAUCAGUGAGUACUAAUCACUAGACAUGCAAAUGAACAAAUCUUCAGAUGAUACAAACCUCUAGCCUAUGAGCUGCUCAGGAUGAGGCCAGGUGCAUUAGAAACAAUCUAUCCCUGCAGAGCACUACCCAGAUCACAUGUUCAUGAGAAUGCUGUUUUAAACCACUAAGUUUUGGGGUGGUUUGUUAAGCAUUUGAAUCCCUGUUCUAGGGACUAGCUCUAGCUCAGGUUAGCUGUAACAAGUAGGAAGGAAAUGGAGGAAGCAAAAGAAAAUGUCCUCCCCCCCUCCCCCCACUUUUCCUCAUUUCCUUAGAUUGAAAAUCUUAGCACCUCCUAGUACUAAUUGUUGGCAAUUAAGUAUAGUUUUGAAGUGCCAUUAGGAACAAAAAACACGAUAAUGGGGACCUGGUCUAUCUAUCUAAACUCUUCUUGAAGGCUUAGUGUCUGAGCAGGAAAAAGAGAAAGCUUGAGUCUAUUUCUCCUUUUCUUCUCCCCUAAGUAUACCUAGUUUCAAAAAGGAGGGGAAAGCAAGAUUUAAUCAUUUCUUGCCCUCAUCUCUCUUCUGAAUUCAAAUCUUUUGAAGGAGAUUUUUUUUUUCCCCACUAAAUGACUACACAGACACUUCAAUCUUAUGAAGGGACCAAACCUACAACAUAUUUGCAUUCCUUAUCAAGGAAGCAGGAUUUACUGACCAAAGUGAUACACUAAGGACGCCACUCUGUCUUUAGUCACUCAUCACUGUCCUUGAAAGGUUCCUCAGGCUCCUCUCCUUCUAAAUGUGGACACUCCCUAGGGUUCUCUUUUCAGACCUCUUCUCACUUGACACACUUUCUGGUCCGUCUUACACAUGCCCAUAACUUUAGUUACCACCUACAUUUUAAUGACUCUAGAGAGCCAGACUUUACUGCCAACCCUGAUGGGAUAGUUCCCUGAUAGCUGCAAUUCUACACGGACAAAACAGGGUUCCUCCUCCUGAACCUGAGGUCCACUCCUCCUCCUAGUCUACACACUAGAGCAGAAACCUGGGGAUCCCCUGUCUUUGCCCCACACAACCAGUUUUCCAUUCCACCAAUUCAUUACUUUUCUCGAAUCCCUCUUCUCUCUAGCCCCACUGUCAUUAGGUACACAGCAGUGGUCCCAAUCCAUUCUUACUUCCAUCACAGGCUGCUUUACAUUCCAUCCUCAAGUUCCAGCACCCCAACCAACGUAAUCUUUUCACACCUGACCACGCACUUCCAUUAAAAUAUCCUAUCUUUGUUCUCCCUUUCCUAUAGGUAUUUAUCUUGAGGCCCAAUAGUCCUUUAGUCACAAACCCCUCGACAAUGUAUACAAAAUUGUAGUAUAGGUCUAUAGGUACGUUUUUAUGGAGAGAGGCCAUAUUCCUUUCCACAGGUUCUCAAAAGGAUAUGUGUCUGCAAAAAGGUUAAAAACUUGAAGGUCUCAGGCUAAAGUCUGAACUCCUGGUCUUCCUUCAGCUUCCUUUCUCAUCCCGUCUUCCCUCCCCUCUUGUCCCAUGCUUCUCCCUCUGUAGUUCCAGGCCUUUGUACAUGCUGCUUUACUUGCUCACCUUGGGAAGCCCUUUCCUUUCGUAGCUGGCCUAACUUUUGCCAUCCACGAAACCACCUUCUUUCUUUUGAGAAACAUCUCAGGUCACACUACCUACAGAAAACUGUGCAGGGAGGGCUAGCCCAGCUGGGAGUCAACUGUUGGCUCCCUGAAACCAGCCUAGCAAUUGCUCUUUUUUAGCAUUUACCCCCUGGAUUUCCAAACCGGAAAGAUGGUUGGUGGGAGUGGGGGGGUGGGGUGGUGGUGAGGGGAGAGGGAGAAAAAAAAAUAAAACCUAUAAAGCCUGUAAAACAAGCAAUGACUGAUAAUUGUUUCUGCAGCACUUAUACACUGUAGAAGAAUGCCAGGCUGUAAUAUACGUUUUUAUAGUACUUUCUGGGGAGGAAGAAAUUGGGUGGCAAAUAUGUAAUUUAUAUUUGCCAGCCGUUUUGGUGAUAAAGACCACACACACUUUCCUGUUCCAGAAUAUUGUACAGGAAUUUUCAACAUCAUCCAGUUUUCCUUUAUUUUAUACCUACACACCUCAUGGUGUUACUUAUUUAAUAAAUCCUUUAACAAUGCA